rnacentral:rRNA from 1 species
UUGGAGGGCAAGUCUGGUGCCAGCAGCCGCGGUAAUUCCAGCUCCAAUGGCGUAUAUUAAAGUUGUUGCAGUUAAAAAGCUCGUAGUUGAAUUUCGGAAUCAAUUUGUUGGUCGUGCCUCGGUACGUACUGGUAUUAUUGGUUUCUACCUUCUGAAGAACCUUGAUGUUAUUAAUUUGGUGUCUUGGGGAAUCAGGACUGUUACUUUGAAAAAAUUAGAGUGCUCAAAGCGGGCCAGUGCCUGAAUACAUUAGCAUGGAAUAAUAAAAUAGGACGGCAUGGUUCUAUUUUGUUGGUUUCUAGGAUCACCGUAAUGAUUAAUAGGGAUAGUUGGGGGCAUUAGUAUUCAAUUGUCAGAGGUGAAAUUCUUGGAUUUAUUGAAGACUAACUUCUGCGAAAGCAUUUGCCAAGGAUGUUUUCAUUAAUCAAGAACGAAAGUUAGGGGAUCGAAGACGAUCAGAUACCGUCGUAGUCUUAACCAUAAACUAUGCCGACUAGGGAUCGGACGAUGUUAAUUUUUUAAUGACUCGUUCGGCGCCUUACGGGAAAC